AACAAUGCAAACCUUUCCAUCAAGCCUGUGGGACACUCUACUUGCAACUGGUGGCCCAAGCCAAAAAAACCUCUGUUAUGUUCAUUUUGUCAAACUCUGUCAUAAACCUGAAAAUCAGCAUCAACAUGAUCUUCAUCAUCUUCAAACAGCACAUGGUAACAAGGAGUUGAUAUGGUCUGUGAUUUGCUGCAGGACAGCAUCCACAACAAACUGCGAACCACAGCACGGUGUAACAGAGUAGCCUCAAAUUUCCAUCAAAGGAAUGAGUUGUCUGAGGAAGCAAUGUGUUCCUCAUCCUUUAAGAGACUGAGGCAGCAAGGAGAAUGUUGGGGAAAGGAACUUUGGGCUGAAUUGAAGAACCUCCAAGAAAUACAAAUAGUGCCUAAUUCCAAGAGCUUUGGUGACCAUGAGCAAAAAAGAUGGAGUAAUAAAAGAGUCAAGGACCACACGGAGGCGACAUUUCCAGCCACCUGGCAUUGAGACACAGUCUUGUCCUGGAAUGUGCACAUCACCACUUUCUUUAAAGACCACAAAACCCUCCCAUUUUUGAUUUUUCCCUUUCUCUCCCCAUCCGCUGGCUGAAUGUGGAGAAUUCUGAGGUCCUAAAAGGGGAUGAGGCUGGAAGAUGGCAGGCAUCUGGAUCUCAAAAGAUCACGCACAUGCUAACAAGGAGCACCCACAUUGAACCAUUAGAUAAAUAAGAAGUAAGACUCAAUUAUGUUUUGCCACUGAGAUUUUGGAGUGUGUUUGUUAUAGCAGCUAGCAUCAGCCUUAAUGAUUUAUCAUACUUACUUAUAAGUUACUGGCUAG
rnacentral:lncRNA from 1 species